AUGCACCACGGGUCUCUCCUGGAGGCGCUUCCCGGUGACAAUGUUGGCUUCAAUGUCAAGAAUGUUGCUAUGAAGGAUCUGAAGCGUGGGUUUGUUGCAUCCAACUCCAAGGAUGAUCCUGCCAAGGAGGCAUCAAACUUCAUCUCCCAGGUUAUCAUAAUGAACCACCUUGUUCAGAUUAGCAACGGUUAGGCCCUAGUGCUGGACUGCCACACCUCCCACAUUGCUGCCAAGUGUGCUGAGCUGGUGACCAGGAUUGACAGAUGAUCUGGUAAGGAGCUAGAGGUGUACCCGAAGUUCAUCAAGAAAGGUGAUUCUGCCAUUGUGAACAUGAUUCCCACCAAGCCCAUGGUUGUGGAGACCUUCGCCACCUACCCUCCCUUUGGCCGUAUCACUGUGCAUGACAUGAGACAAACUGUUGCUGUUGGUGUCAUCAAGGGCGUGGAGAAGAAGGAUCCUACCGGUGCCAAAGUUACCAAGGCUCCGCGCCAUCAAGAAUAA
rnacentral:rRNA from 1 species